ensembl:lncRNA
AGCCAGUCAGCCAAGGCAAGCAGGCAGGGGCUAUGACUCCAGCCAGUCAUCCAAGGGAGACAGGCAGGGGCCAUGACUCCAGCCAGACAGUCAGCCAAGGCAGGCAGGAAGGGUCCAUGACUCCAGCCAGACAGCCAUAGUCAGGCAGGGAGGCAGGGGCCAUAACUCCAGCCUAUAGCCUAGGUAGGCAGGCAGGCAGGGUCCAUGACUCCAAGCAGCCAGUCAGCCAGGGCAGGCAGGCAGGGGCCAUGACUCAAUCCGGCCAGUAAGCCAAAGCAGGCAGGCAGGGGCCAUGACUCCAGCCAGUCAGCCAAGGCAGGCAGGCCGGAGCUGUGUCUCCAGCCAUCCAGACUAGGCAGACAGGCCUGGGCCAUGACUCCAACCAGCCAGUCAGCCAAGGCAGGCAGGCCGGAGCUGUGUCUCCAGCCAUCCAGACUAGGCAGGCAGGCCUGGGCCAUGACUCCAGCCAGCCAGUUAAGGCAUUCAGGCAGGAGCUGCAAAUCCAGUCAGCCAGUCAAGGCAGGCAGGCAGGGGCCGUGUCUCCAGCCAGUCAACCAAGGCAGGCAGGCAGGGGCCAUGAUUCCAGCCAGCCAGUCAGCCAAGGCAGGCAGGCAGGAGCUGCGACUCCAGUCAGGCAGCCAAGGCAGGCAGACAGGCCGGGGCCAUGACUCCAGCCAGCCAGCUAAGGCACUCAGGCAGGAGCUGCAACUCCAGUCAGCCAGUCAAGGCAGGCAGGCAGGGGCCAUGACUCCAACUGGUCAGCCCAGGCAGGCAGGCAGGUAGGGGCCAUGACUCCAGCUAGUCAGCUAAGGCAGGCAGACAGGA